GGCUUAGAGUUUGAUCAUGGCUCAGGAUGAACGCUAGCUACAGGCUUAACACAUGCAAGUCGAGGGGCAGCAUGAACUUAGCUUGCUAAGUUUGAUGGCGACCGGCGCACGGGUGAGUAACACGUAUCCAACCUGCCGAUGACUCGGGGAUAGCCUUUCGAAAGAAAGAUUAAUACCCGAUGGCAUAGUUCUUCCGCAUGGUGGAACUAUUAAAGAAUUUCGGUCAUCGAUGGGGAUGCGUUCCAUUAGGUUGUUGGCGGGGUAACGGCCCACCAAGCCUUCGAUGGAUAGGGGUUCUGAGAGGAAGGUCCCCCACAUUGGAACUGAGACACGGUCCAAACUCCUACGGGAGGCAGCAGUGAGGAAUAUUGGUCAAUGGACGAGAGUCUGAACCAGCCAAGUAGCGUGAAGGAUGACCGCCCUAUGGGUUGUAAACUUCUUUUAUACGGGAAUAAAGUGAGGCACGUGUGCCUUUUUGUAUGUACCGUAUGAAUAAGGAUCGGCUAACUCCGUGCCAGCAGCCGCGGUAAUACGGAGGAUCCGAGCGUUAUCCGGAUUUAUUGGGUUUAAAGGGAGCGUAGGCGGACGCUUAAGUCAGUUGUGAAAGUUUGCGGCUCAACCGUAAAAUUGCAGUUGAUACUGGGUGUCUUGAGUACAGUAGAGGCAGGCGGAAUUCGUGGUGUAGCGGUGAAAUGCUUAGAUAUCACGAAGAACUCCGAUUGCGAAGGCAGCUUGCUGGACUGUAACUGACGCUGAUGCUCGAAAGUGUGGGUAUCAAACAGGAUUAGAUACCCUGGUAGUCCACACAGUAAACGAUGAAUACUCGCUGUUUGCGAUAUACAGUAAGCGGCCAAGCGAAAGCGUUAAGUAU
rnacentral:rRNA from 1 species